AACGCACCUUGCGCCCUUUGGCUAUUCCGAAGGGCAUGCCUGUUUGAGUAUCAUGAACACCUCAACCCUCAUGGUUUGCCAUGAUGGGCUUGGACUUUGGGGGUCUUGCUGGAUUGUAGUCAGCUCCCCUUAAAUGAAUCAGCUUGCCAGUGUUUGGUGGCAUCACAGGUGUGAUAACUAUCUACGCUUGUGGUUUUACAUCAGAUAACCUUCAGUGAUGGAGGUUCGCUGGAGCUCAUAAAGGUGUCUCUCCUCUGUGAGGGACAGCUCUUUGAACGUUUGAUCUCAAAUCAGGCAGGACUACCCGCUGAACUUAA
rnacentral:misc_RNA from 1 species